GACCCAUUAGCUCAAUUGAUUAGAGCGUCGUGCUAAUAACGCGAAGGUCGCGGAUUCGAUUCCCUCAUGGAACA